GACCUGCGGAGGAUCAUUAUUGAAGUAACCUGAUGAGUUGCUGCUGGUUCUCUAGGGAGCAUGUGCACACUUGUCAUCUUUAUAUCUCCACCUGUGAACCUUUUGUAGACCUGGAUAUCUCUCUCUGAAUCUGAGGUUUGAGGAUUGAUCUUUUGUCUUUCCUUGUGUUUUCAGGGCUAUGUUUUUCAUAUACCCCAUGUAUGUUUAUAGAAUGUAAUAAACGGGCCUUUGGGGCCUAUAAACUUAUACAACUUUCAGCAACGGAUCUCUUGGGUCUCGCAUCGAUGAAAAACGCACCGAAAUGCGAUAAGUAAUGUGAAUUGCAGAAUUCAGUGAAUCAUCGAAUCUUUGAACGCACCUUGCGCUCCUUGGUAUUCCGAGGAGCAUGCCUGUUUGAGUGUCAUUAAUAUAUCAACCCUCUUCAGCCUUUGGCAUGUUGAGUGUUGGAUGUGGGGGAUAAUCUUUUUUUUGCUGGACUCUCUCUUGAGGUCAGCUCCCCUAAAAUACAUUAGCAAAACAAUUUGUUUACUGCUCAUUGGUGUGAUAACUAUCUACGCUGUUGACGGUAAAUCACGGUUUCGCUUCUAACAAGUCCAUGACUUGGACAACCUUUUAUCAAUG
rnacentral:rRNA from 1 species